rnacentral:misc_RNA from 1 species
CACCACCACCGGCUCCACCUCCACCGGCACCACCUCCAGAAUCCCCAUUACUACCACCACCACCUCCAUCAAUCCUCAAGUCCAAAACUCGUUCAUCCUGAACGAAAUUACAAUCCUCUACCCGCCCCGACGAAUCGGCAAUCGUACUGGCGGCGGACUCGGAGUUAACGCAUUGGAGAAGUGAAACCGAGUGAAUGCAAGCGUUGAUUGGUUGAGGAACAAGAGAAGAUGAAAAGACUGAGUUGAUUGGAAUCGGAGAUUUAACGGCGAGAAAAGUCUGCUUGAUCGGAGCGGUGGCCUCGUUAAAGAAGUUGAAAGGAGGCGGAAUGUUGAAGCUAGGUGAAGAAACUGACAUUCUUGCUAAUUUUCUUUUCCAAAGAGAAAGGAAGAUUUGAAAAAGGUAAAGCUUUUUGAUAAUGGUGGAGGCUAGGUAUAGAUUCUGGAGCGAAAUGAAAUACAGUGACUAGUCAGCCCUGGGGCAAG